GAUGUGGGACUCGAUGCCAGGACCCCGGGAUCACGACCUGAGCCAAAGGCAGACACUAAACCACUGAGCCACCCAGGGGCCCCCACAUUUGGGAUUUCAAAGCAGUUCUCUGUGAUAUUGAUGACCAUUCUGUUCCCCAUCCCUGAAUGUGUGUUAGUAAGCAUGGAGAUAUUUCUGAUCACCAGAAUGGCUUAAUAGGUUUGUUCUUCAUGGACUUUCUCUCCUUUAUGGUGACUGCUGAAUUUCCUCUGGUACCUACACUGUGACCCUGAAACCAGCACCUUUUUUAUGGUUGAUAAAUGCUUUUUAUAUGCUCUUGCAUUAAGUACAAAGGCCAAGGUAGUUCAUGUUUUUGAUACUCCCAUCCAGGGGCUGCGUAUUGGCGCUGAAGAAGCCCUGUGUGUGUUCUGAGCUAGAAGAAAAGCAGGGCCCUGCCUUCUGGUCCAGGUUGCCUGGAAAACUUAAUGAACAUUCACACGAAGUGAGAUGGAUGAAGCUGAUAGACCUCAGUUGGGGUCAGGUUUUACUGCCAAAUGAAUUCAGAUGGGCUCAGGUUUUGCCACGAAAUAUGAUCUGAGGUUUUUUUUUUUUUUUUUUUUUUUUUUUUUGAGAGUUUCAAACCUUGGAAAUGUAGAUUAGGAAUUAUGGACUCCUGGUAGGUAAAUAAAGAAGAGUAGCAAAGUAAAUGUCA